rnacentral:misc_RNA from 1 species
AAGGAGAAAGAGAAGUACAAAACGUUCGAAGUUCACGAAAGUGUAAAAAGACCUGUUCAGUUUUGAGGGAGCUUUCGAAAGGAAGAAACCUCAGGAAGUUCUUUGAAAACUGAAUAACAAGAAAGACACAAUAAGAUAGGUCUUUCUGAAAAGUUGUGAAAAAAGAUUAACACGAAGUUAGAAAUAACAGUUAAGUCAAAAGUUCUCAAGCAAAGUGA